UAUCUUAACUAACGGGUAUGUUUGAUGUAAGAGAUCUUUUAAUAGAGACAACAGGUCUCUUAUAAGCCCUUGGGCCCACAACUUUAUUCAUAGGAGUGAGAUAAGAAACCUGUUGUAGGAGCAACGGGUCUCUUACAUUAUUUUUACUUCUCAUUAUUUACGGGUGUAGUGCCAUCCUUUUGGCCGCUCAAUCUCUCCUCUACAUCUCUUUCUAUCUCACCGACAUUCCUUUGCUAAUUUUUUUCCUUAAAAACUCAUUCCUCAUUUACCUCUAAUUGUGCCAUAAUUUUGCUCAAUCACUCUGAUCCGCAUCUUUUAUCACCGAAUCCCUUUGUUAUUUUUUGUCCUCAAAAACUCAUUCUCUUUCACCUCCAAUUUACUCCCUCUCAUCAAUGGUUUCUUCUACUCUUUUUUUUCCCACCUUCAUCAACGACUUCUUCGAGCAUAUGCAUGCUCCUUGUAUUUUGAGAAGUCUCCACCUUCAAGAUCCCUCUUUGCUUAGCCUCCGACGACAGUUGCGAAGUGCUUCAGUGCAAUAAGAUCUAGAUUUAAGCAUUCAAGAUCUGCUGGAAUUUCGGAAUACCCAAUUUUAACAUAGAGUUGUAAUUGAUUUGAAAUUCCCAACCCCAAAAAUUCAGAGAGACCGGAUCUUGAAGAAUGAAAUUGCAGAAGAUGGAGUAGUACUCCAGCCUUAUUGAUAUAAUAUAGCUGUAAAUUUUAGCGACUUUAAAUAUUUUUGUGUUAAUUUUGCUUGAAUUUUAUGUUAGGUUGUUUUUUUUUUUUUGUAUCUUAUCAAUUUUUUUUUUUUUACCGAGGCUAAUUUCAUAUGGUCUAAAAGUAUUUUUAGGGAAAGUAUUGUAACUUACAAUUUUUUAAUUUUCUGCCAAUUUGUAUAAAGCAUAAAAAUUCAAUAUUCAAAAUUCAAAUGCAA